UCCAGUAUCCUGAAAAGGCCUAAAAUUAUAAUUCCAGAAGCUAAGAUAGAGACAUAUAAAUAAUAUCUACACAUGAAAGUCUGAUGAAUUAUAUUAGUGCUGAAUACGGAAAGUCGGCUCUAUGUAAUCUCCUUUUAAUAGAAUCUCCAUAAUAAAUUUAAACAGUUAUGCAAGCAACGAGUAUCAAGCUAAUAUUUCUACUAGUGUUUAUAAUAGC